UCCCAAUACAGCGAUCAAAUCAGUAUCUUCCGUACGGUCUGCUGGAGCUCUUUUUGGAUUUGAGACUGCAUCGCCACCGUGCUGAUCAGAGCUCCACUGGG